rnacentral:rRNA from 1 species
AGAUCGAACUGAAGAGUUUGAUCCUGGCUCAGAUUAAACGCUAGCGGCAUGCCUUACACAUGCAAGUCGAACGGCAGCGGGCUCUUCGGAGCGCCGGCGAGUGGCAAACGGGUGAGUAAUACAUCGGAACAUGCCCAUUAGUGGGGGAUAGCUCGGCGAAAGCCGAAUUAAUACCGCAUACGACCUUCGGGUGAAAGGGGGGGAUCUUCGGACCUCUCGCUAUUGGAGUGGCCGAUGGCUGAUUAGUUUGUUGGUGGGGUAACGGCCUACCAAGACUGCGAUCAGUAGCUGGUCUGAGAGGACGAUCAGCCACACUGGGACUGCGACACGGCCCAGACUCCUACGGGAGGCAGCAGUGGGGAAUCUUGGACAAUGGGCGAAAGCCUGAUCCAGCAAUGCCGCGUGUGCGAUGAAGGCUUUCGGGUUGUAAAGCACUUUUAUCAGGGAAGAAAUGGUUUGGGAUAAUAUCUCAAAUAGCUGACGGUACCUGAAGAAUAAGCACCGGCUAACUACGUGCCAGCAGCCGCGGUAAUACGUAGGGUGCAAGCGUUAAUCGGAAUUACUGGGCGUAAAGCGUGCGCAGGCGGUUUUGUAA